GAUGAACGCUGACAGAAUGCUUAACACAUGCAAGUCAACUUGAACUUCGGUUUGGGUGGCGGACGGGUGAGUAACGCGUAAAGAACUUGCCUCACAGAUAGGGACAACAUUUGGAAACGAAUGCUAAUACCUGAUAUUAUGAUUAUAUGGCAUCGUAUAAUUAUGAAAGUUAUAUGCGCUGUGAGAGAGCUUUGCGUCCCAUUAGCUAGUUGGAGAGGUAACGGCCCACCAAGGCGAUGAUGGGUAGCCGGCCUGAGAGGGUGAUCGGCCACAAGGGGACGGAGACACGGCCCUUACUCCUACGGGAGGCAGCAGUGGGGAAUAUUGGACAAUGGACCAAGAGUCUGAUCCAGCAAUUCUGUGUGCACGAUGAAGUUUUUCGGAAUGUAAAGUGCUUUCAGUUGGGAAGAAAAAAAUGACGGUACCAACAGAAGAAGUGACGGCUAAAUACGUG
rnacentral:rRNA from 1 species